AUGCUGCUCGUCCUUCAAAUUCUUUUCGAAACCGCCCCAGCAGCGUCGUCGAUCGCGCCGAAGACGUUCGAGAGUCGGGUGUCGCUCAAGUCGCCUCCCCAUCCCGCUCCCGCACUAGUCAGACAGACCUGCGCUAUCCGCCAGCCCGCCCGUGAGAGACGUUUAGCGAGGAGCGGCAGGUACGGGACGCUGCAGAGGGUGUCGUUCAACCCGGCAACGAAGAGGACGAGGGGAGUUGAUGAGGAGGUGGGAGGGCCGAAUUCGAAGGCCGUGAGGGGCUUGGGAGAGAUCAGGUGUAGCUGGCCGGGGAUAGGGU
rnacentral:misc_RNA from 1 species